AGGUCAUUUCAAACAGGGUUUGUGAGUUUGUGAAACCAGGAGCUCUUCACACUAUGACCAAGGAUUAAAGUUCUCCAUAGGAUGUCAUAGGCAGUCAGUAGUGCUGUUUUCCUGAAGUGAUGAAAGA